CACGAUAGUUUUUGGCUCCCAGGGAGAGGUUGGAUGAGGGUCAGGACAUAUCACAUAAGGCCUGUCAAUCAAAAAUUUGCAAGAUUUUUGUUUAAUAUCUAGAGAAAUUGGCCCUUAUGAGAUAAAGAAUAAUUGGUCACUUGAUUCCCCCUUAGAGACACUUCAUUAAUUCCCUCAAUUUAUUUGUUUCCCUUUUGUUUUUUAGCUAAACCAGCGCAACUAUUUUUCUAAUAUUCUUUAUAUUCAAAGUAUGUAAAUUGAGAAAUUAAGGGAGAACCUAUAAGAAACAUUUUGUAAGGGCAGUCUCCUGCUCUUGCUCAGUAGAAUUUAAUAUAGUUUUAUUGUCAACUCUAACUUUACUCUUUUUCUAUGUGAAAUAUCACAUAUUUAUUCUCCACUUUGUGCUGUUCACCAGAAAGGAUCUCUCUCUUGCAUCUCUCCUAGCUACAUUCCACUUUUGCACUUACCUGAAUCUUUUGCAUAUGGUAGUUGGAAGCUAAGGGAAGAGGGGUCAUUCUCUCAAGUUCUGGUUAAGCUGCGGUCUUAGGGAGGCGCUGUAAACACGAGUCCCCGAUGUGAGGCUUUCACAAACAUACAUGCCCCUCCUCCAAAGCUUAUAUUGCCACUACGUAUCUUAUGUCUCAGGUAAGCAAAUUCCUGGAUCUUGUUUCUCCCCAAGAGUGCAUUUCACAUUCCUGAUUUUAAUUUUUUCCCAUUGCAGCUUUCAUUGUCUGAUUGGAAAAAAAUCAUUAAUUUGGAUUUUUUAAGGUUUUUUUUUUUAUCGUAAGGGAAUGAGAAACACUACCUGAUUGGCCAUAUCUCUGAGAUGACAUCAGAACCCAGCAGCUAGUUUUUAUGCAAUUUUGCUACCAUUUUGGUUGAAGUUAAUCUAAAGUAUUUUCUAAUCCUGUCUUAAACAAAGCCAUUUUCUCUGGAAAGCCAGCUAACCGCUAGCUGUGUAGACUAGUUAAGAGAUUAUAAUAAAU
rnacentral:lncRNA from 1 species